rnacentral:tRNA from 1 species
UCUCUGGUGGCUCAGAUCGUAAAGAACCUGCCUGCAAUGCGGGAGAUCCAGGUUCAAUUCCUGGCUCAGGAA